UGAGUGUGGCAAAGCAUUUAGUGUGAGC
rnacentral:piRNA from 1 species